rnacentral:rRNA from 1 species
UACGUAGGGUGCAAGCGUUAUCCGGAAUUAUUGGGCGUAAAGAGCUCGUAGGCGGUCUGUCGCGUCUGCUGUGAAAUCUGGGGGCUCAACCCCCAGCCUGCAGUGGGUACGGGCAGACUAGAGUGCGGUAGGGGAGAUUGGAACUCCUGGUGUAGCGGUGGAAUGCGCAGAUAUCAGGAGGAACACCGGUGGCGAAGGCGGGUCUCUGGGCCGAUACUGACGCUGAGGAGCGAAAGCGUGGGGAGCGAACAGG